rnacentral:tRNA from 1 species
GGAAGCGUGGCCGAGCGGUCUAAGGCAUCCGCUUUGAAAGCGGACAGGCGUCGUCACGGCGUCUCGCGGGUUCGAAUCCUCGCCGCUUCCGCCA